rnacentral:tRNA from 1 species
GCGGUCUUGGCUCAGUCGGGAGAUCGCUAGACUGAAGAUCUGGUGGCAAUAUGUUCGAUCCACAGAGGCCGUA